rnacentral:rRNA from 1 species
GUAGUUAGCCGGGGCUUUCUUACAGGGUACCGUCACUUCUUCGUCCCCUGCGACAGAGGUUUACAAUCCGAAAACCUUCUUCCCUCACGCGGCGUUGCUGGGUCAGGCUUGCGCCCAUUGCCCAAUAUUCCCCACUGCUGCCUCCCGUAGGAGUCUGGACCGUGUCUCAGUUCCAGUGUGGCCGAUCAGCCUCUCAGCUCGGCUACCCAUCGUCGGCUUGGUGGGCUGUUAUCUCACCAACUACCUAAUGGGACGCGAACCCCUCUAAAAGCGAUAAAUCUUUGACCUCUUCCCGAUGCCGGGUUGUGGUCUUAUGCGGUAUUAGCAGUUGUUUCCACCUGUUAUUCCCCACUCUUAGGCAGGUUGUUCACGCGUUACUCACCCGUGCGCCACUAGAAUUAUCAAUUCCAUCCGAAAACUUCCUUAAUAAUCCCCGUUCGACUUGCAUGUGUUAGGCACGCCGCCAGCGUUCGUCCUGAGCCAGGAUCAAACUCUGA